UACGGAGGGUGCGAGCGUUGUCCGGAAUCACUGGGCGUAAAGGGCACGCAGGCGGCCUGAUAAGUAGGGGGUGAAAUCCUGCGGCUUAACCGCAGGGCUGCCUUCUAAACUGUCAGGCUAGAGCACGGUAGAGGCAGAUGGAAUUCCCGGUGUAGCGGUGGAAUGCGUAGAGAUCGGGAAGAACACCGGUGGCGAAGGCGGUUAGCUGGGCAGUUGCUGACACUGAGGCGCGACAGCGUGGGGAGCAAACAGG
rnacentral:rRNA from 1 species